rnacentral:rRNA from 1 species
GCAUCGAUGAAGACGCAGCGAAACGCGAUAGGUAAUGUGAAUUGCAGAAUUCCGUGAAUCAUCGAAUCUUUGAACGCACCUUGCGCUCCAUGGCAUUCCGUGGAGCAUGCCUGUUUGAGUGCCGCGAAAUCUCCCACCCCUAGCGGUUGCCGCAAGGCGCCGCCGGGCGGCGGGGUUGGUUGGGUGCCGCUGCCUGGGCUUUGGCCCAGGCUCGCCCGAAAUGCAUGAGCGCUUAGCACUCGCACCGUCUCGAGGGAAGGCGGCGGAGCUGGCAUCUGCGCAUGGCAUGAUACGUCAUUUGCUGUGUGGCAGCCCAGCGACCCGAGAGUGUGUGUGCGCUACUACACGCCCUUUCAUUUCUGGUCUCAAAUCAGGUAGGAUCACCCGCUGAACUUAAGCAUAUCAAUAAGCGGAGG